GAUGAACGCUGGCGGCGUGCCUAAUACAUGCAAGUCGAGCGAACAGACGAGGAGCUUGCUCCUCUGACGUUAGCGGCGGACGGGUGAGUAACACGUGGAUAACCUAUCUAUAAUACUGGGAUAACUUCGGGAAACCGGAUCUAAUACCGGAUAAUAUAUUGAACCGCAUUGUUCAAUAGUGAAAGACGGUUUUGCUGUCACUUAUAGAUGGAUCCGCGCCGCAUUAGCUAGUUGGUAAGGUAACGGCUUACCAAGGCAACGAUGCGUAGCCGACCUGAGAGAGUGAUCGGCCACACUGGAACUGAGACACGGUCCAGGCUACUAAGGGAGGCCGCAGUAGGGAAUCUUACGCAAUGGGCGAAAGCAUGACGGAGCAACGCCGCGUGAGUGAUGAAGGUCUUCGGAUCGUAAAACUCUGUUAUUAGGGAAGAACAAAUGUGUAAGUAACUAUGCACGUCUUGACGGUACCUAAUCAGAAAGCCACGGCUAACUACGUG
rnacentral:rRNA from 1 species